AUUUUGGACAAUGGGGGCAACCCUGAUCCAGCCAUCCUGCGUGUGCGAUGAAGGCCUUCGGGUUGNACAGCACUUUUGGCAGGGAANGAAAGGCUCUGGCUAAUACCUGGAGCUGCUGACGGUACCUGCAGAAUAAGCACCGGCUAACUACGUGCCAGCAGCCGCGGUAAUACGUAGGGUGCAAGCGUUAAUCGGAAUUACUGGGCGUAAAGCGUGCGCAGGCGGUUCGGCAAGAAGGAUGUGAAAUCCCAUGGCUUAACCUUGGAACGGCAUUCUUAACUGCCGGGCUAGAGUAUGUCAGAGGGGGGUAGAAUUCCGCGUGUAGCAGUGAAAUGCGUAGAGAUGCGGAGGAAUACCGAUGGCGAAGGCAGCCCCCUGGGAUAAUACUGACGCUCAUGCACGAAAGCGUGGGGAGCAAACA
rnacentral:rRNA from 1 species